UUCUUCCACAUUUGCCAUUGUUUUUGUUUUUCUUUCUUUCUUUCUUGAAAAGUUCUUUUUUUCAAAAGUCUUCAAGGAGUUAAAAGGGGUUGAAAUCCAAAAGGAAAGAGA
rnacentral:ribozyme from 13 species